rnacentral:rRNA from 1 species
UACGGAGGGUGCGAGCGUUGUUCGGAUUUAUUGGGCGUAAAGCGCGUGUAGGCGGCUUCUUAAGUCUGAUGUGAAAGCCCUGGGCUCAACCCGGGAAGUGCAUUGGAAACUGGGGAACUUGAAUACGGGAGAGGGUAGUGGAAUUCCUGGUGUAGGAGUGAAAUCCGUAGAUAUCAGGAGGAACACCGGUGGCGAAGGCGGCUGCCUGGACCGAUAUUGACGCUGAGACGCGAAAGCGUGGGGAGCAAACAGG